ACAGAUGUCUUUGGAGGCAGAUAUAGGCAAUCGUAAGAACAAACUCGUAUCAUCCAAACGCAAGUCCAAGAGCAACUUAACCAAUAUAAAGCACAAAUGGAGAUGCAAAUGAAGGAGAUGAUGGAUGCUAUGCUUAAUCAACAGAAAGUACAAAUGGAGAUGCAAAGCACAAUCCAAGCUCAAUAAGCCCGAAUAGAGCAAUUGGAGUCUCAACAGGCCAUGGGUGGGCCUGUUGCACCAGCUGCUACACAUGUGCAUUCACAACAACAAUCCCAUGCAUACACCUCAUCGUUUAAUUGUCAUCAUUCGUCCGAGGAAGUUCACAUAUCAAAGAAAGAAAAGAAGAAGAAGAAGAAGAAGUAGAUAUGACAAACUCAGAGUGAUGCAGAUAAAUUGAAUAGGAGGCUUGUUCGCUUGAAGUCAACAAACCGUACUCGAGAAAGGUUGAGGCGUAAUGGCUUUUUGGGAUUGUUUGGACACAAGGUUGAUCUUUUAGAUUACCAUGAAAAGAAGCUACAAGACUUGGAAGAUAACAUGCGGAUAGAGCAAUCUUCACUGGUGGGAAAGGUACGUGCAUUGAGUGUCUUAUCAAGUUAUCAUU